rnacentral:rRNA from 1 species
UGGGGAAUAUUGGACAAUGGGCGAAAGCCUGAUCCAGCCAUGCCGCGUGUGUGAAGAAGGUCUUCGGAUUGUAAAGCACUUUAAGUUGGGAGGAAGGGCAUUAACCUAAUACGUUAGUGUUUUGACGUUACCGACAGAAUAAGCACCGGCUAACUCUGUGCCAGCAGCCGCGGUAAUACAGAGGGUGCAAGCGUUAAUCGGAAUUACUGGGCGUAAAGCGCGCGUAGGUGGUUUGUUAAGUUGGAUGUGAAAUCCUCGGGCUCAACCUGGGAACUGCAUUCAAAACUGACUGACUAGAGUAUGGUAGAGGGUGGUGGAAUUUCCUGUGUAGCGGUGAAAUGCGUAGAUAUAGGAAGGAACACCAGUGGCGAAGGCGACCACCUGGACUAAUACUGACACUGAGGUGCGAAAGCGUGGGGAGCAAACA